rnacentral:rRNA from 1 species
CCGCACGGGUGAGUAACACGUAUCCAACCUGCCGUCUACUCUUGGCCAGCCUUCUGAAAGGAAGAUUAAUCCAGGAUGGCAUCAUGAGUUCACAUGUCCGCAUGAUUAAAGGUAUUUUCCGGUAGACGAUGGGGAUGCGUUCCAUUAGAUAGUAGGCGGGGUAACGGCCCACCUAGUCAACGAUGGAUAGGGGUUCUGAGAGGAAGGUCCCCCACAUUGGAACUGAGACACGGUCCAA